AGUGAACGCUGGCGGUAGGCCUAACACAUGCAAGUCGAACGGCAGCACAGUAAGAGCUUGCUCUUACGGGUGGCGAGUGGCGGACGGGUGAGGAAUACAUCGGAAUCUACUUUUUCGUGGGGGAUAACGUAGGGAAACUUACGCUAAUACCGCAUACGACCUACGGGUGAAAGCAGGGGAUCUUCGGACCUUGCGCGAUUGAAUGAGCCGAUGUCGGAUUAGCUAGUUGGCGGGGUAAAGGCCCACCAAGGCGACGAUCCGUAGCUGGUCUGAGAGGAUGAUCAGCCACACUGGAAGUGAGACACGGUCCAGACUCCUACGGGAGGCAGCAGUGGGGAAUAUUGGACAAUGGGCGAAAGCCUGAUCCAGCCAUACCGGGUGGGUGAAGAAGGCCUUCGGGUUGUAAAGCCCUUUUGUUGGGAAAGAAAAGCAGCAGGUUAACACCCCGCUGUUCUGACGGUACCCAAAGAAUAAGCACCGGCUAACUUCGUG
rnacentral:rRNA from 1 species